rnacentral:rRNA from 1 species
CUUGGUCAUUUAGAGGAAGUAAAAGUCGUAACAAGGUUUCCGUAGGUGAACCUGCGGAAGGAUCAUUACUGAAUUGUCAAACGGGUUGUUGCUGGCCCUCAUAGGGGGCAUGUGCACGCUCUGUUUACACAUCCACUCACACCUGUGCACCCUCUGUAGUUCUAUGGUCUGGGGGACCCUGUCUUCCUUCUGUGGUUCUACGUCUUUACACACACACUGUAAUAAAGUUUUAUGGAAUGUACAUCGCGUCUAACGCAAUACAAUACAACUUUCAGCAACGGAUCUCUUGGCUCUCGCAUCGAUGAAGAACGCAGCGAAAUGCGAUAAGUAAUGUGAAUUGCAGAAUUCAGUGAAUCAUCGAAUCUUUGAACGCACCUUGCGCCCCUUGGCUAUUCCGAGGGGCAUGCCUGUUUGAGUAUCAUGAACACCUCAACUCUCAUGGUUUGCCAUGAUGAGUUGGACUCUGGGGGUUUUGCUGGCCUGUGGUCGGCUCCUCUCAAAUUAAUCAGCCUCCCAGUGUUUGGUGGCAUCACGGGUGUGAUAAAUAUCUACGCUCGCUGUUGUCUGCCAGGUAACCUUUGGUCACAAAGGUUUGCUGGAGCUCACAGAUGUCUCUCCUCAGCGAGGACAGCUUUUUUAACGUUCGAUCUCAAAUCAGGUAGGACUACCCGCUGAACUUAAGCAUAUCAAAAGCGGAGGAAA